ACCUUUAGUUGCCAUCAGGUAAUGCUGGGGACUCUAAAGGAACUGCCUACGCAAGUAGUGAGGAAGGCGGGGAGUGACGUCAAAUCAGCACGGCCCUUACGUCCAGGGCUACACACGUGCUACAAUGGCCGAUACAGAGGGCAGCUACCUGGUGACAGGAUGCAAAUCUACCAAAGUCGGUCUCAGUUCGGAUCGGAGUCUGCAACCCGACUCCGUGAAGUUGGAUUCGCUAGUAAUCGCGCAUCAGCCAUGGCGCGGUGAAUACGUUCCCGGGCCUU
rnacentral:rRNA from 1 species